rnacentral:lncRNA from 1 species
UAAUUUGUGCAAUCAAGUCCUUUCUUCUUUUGACUUCUUGAAUGUGGGUUGCUUACAUGAUUUAAUUGAUUCAAUUUCGUGUUUACUUUUAUCUUUUUGUGAUUAUUUCUUGAUUAAAGUGAUGCCUUGACUCUUUUAUUAUUUUGGAGGAUAAAUAAGUGACUUCACCCCACUAGAGCUCCAUUUCAAGGGAGGUAUAAUUUCUUUUAUCUUUUUUGUCUCUCCCCUAUGUGAUCCAACGUGCUACGUGAAAAUUGCAUGUCUACUUGCUUCCCUUAUUUUUCUUUAAUUCCUUU